UGGGGAAUUUUGGACAAUGGGCGCAAGCCUGAUCCAGCCAUGCCGCGUGCGGGACGAAGGCCUUCGGGUUGUAAACCGCUUUCAGCCGGAAAGAAAUCGCCAAGGCUAAUAUCCUUGGUGGAUGACGGUACCGGAAGAAGAAGCACCGGCUAACUACGUGCCAGCAGCCGCGGUAAUACGUAGGGUGCGAGCGUUAAUCGGAAUUACUGGGCGUAAAGGGUGCGCAGGCGGUUUUGUUAGCCAGGCGUGA
rnacentral:rRNA from 1 species